CAAGACAGUGGUCUAAAGGGUCAAGUCUGGUUUGUUACAAUGGCAAGCCAACAAAUCCUUUGAAGUAUAUGGAAUCUCUAUACAAAAACAAAUUCAAGUUGCUGAUCUACAAUGUCACAGAGGCUGAUUUGAAUCGUGAUUACCAGUGCCUCUACUCUUUUGACGUAUAUUCCAAAACAUUAAACAUAACUGAAGAAAAUUUUGAAU
rnacentral:lncRNA from 1 species